GCGCCGGAAGCGGGCGGCGCGGGGGCGGCGCAAGGCCCGGGGCGGCGGGGGGCGCGACAGGGCCGGAGGGGGGGGAUGAACCCCAACGGGCAGCGCAGGGCGUGAAACGAGCGUGCUGCGCCGGCAGCGUGAGUUCGCUGCGUGACCUGGCACGCGCCGUUGCGAAGGGCCCCGCAUCAGCGAGGCUGACGGCAGCGCCGUCCCUCGCGGCCUGGAGGAACCGCCGGGGAUCGGUUCCCGCCUCGCUCAUUAGAACUGAAGAAAGCAAUGUCUGCUCCUGCAGCUGGAAAAACAGAAGUCUAGAACUGUUGUGAGGAAGUGUGGGAGAAAAAGGCACAGAUAUAUGAAUACAUCUCAGUUUUAUGAAAAUUUAAUUUAAAUUUUGCUUCUGUAUAGAGCCAAAAACAGUGAAAAACUGUCAGCAUAUACAGAGCAUCUUUUCUUCUUUCACGUUGUAUUUACAUUAUAAGGAGAAAUACAGAAAGUCAUGUGACUCAUAAUAUAUUAUGCUUAUGUC